rnacentral:tRNA from 2 species
GUUCCCGUAGUUCAACGGAAAGAAUAGAAGUUUGCGGAACUUCUGAUAGCAGUUCGAUUCUGCUCGGGAACA